AGUUAACUUCUCUAAAUGGCGUCAAAAAUCUUAUUUGUUGGCUAGAUGAGUUGUCAUUUUAAAAGACGUGGCAGAUAACAGGUGGACUUAAAUUAUUUAGGUUUUAAAAUCAAAGAAAAAUGAAAAAGGGUUCGCCCAUCCCGUGAGCAGAAAACCUAAAGUUUCUGUAAUCAGAAAUAGGUGUCAACCACCGUGAGGCCCUUCCCUUCAAUCAGUGUAUCGUCGGUGACACUGUUCAUCGCCAUAGUCAUUGCCGAUCACACCGCCAAGUCUUCCUUUUUCAUUCCUCUUCACUUCCUGCGACACAUUCUCACAGCUACUAACGAGAUCAGUUGCUACCGGUGCCGGAGACACUGUCGGUGACCGCCAUCGUCGCCGCUGACGAUGGGUUCUCCUAUUACUUUAUUCUCUGUUUUCGAUCGGGUUGGUAUCUCGCUCUGAUAGGUUUAGGUAGAACAAAAAAUGAUGGAGUGCGACUCUGUGAUAGUUGCAGGGAAAGGCACCACAGUGGCUAUCAAUGGUUCAAAGAGAAAUUGAGGAUUGGGGGAAAUGGUUGAUGGGUACUCCAAAAAGAGGAAUGGGAAAUGGGAAAAAAGAUAAGCCAAAGAAAACAAAUCCUAAGGAACUGAAUCCAUAUCUGAAGGAUAGUGGAAGUGGUUACCCAGAAGAAAAAGGAUAGAGCUAAAGUUGGUGUUGACCAACUUCUAUCUUCUUCCCUUGUUGGGGAUGGAGGAGCAAGCUCGAGACUCAAAGCCUUAAAGUGUUCACAAGAACAAGCAGCUCGAGAAGGACGAAGAAGAAGAACCACCACCACCCUUUAUCAGCUUCAGCUCAAUCACUUUUUCAAAUUUCUCCAAUUCUUUUACCUUUACCUUUACUUAAAACACGUGCUUUUUUAAUUUUAAUGCUAAACAAAUAAUUUAAGUCCACUUCAUAAAGUGAUUACGUGUCAUGUGUUUGAAAAAUGACACCUCCCCUACCAGUAAACAUAAUUUUUAACGUUGUCUAGAGAAGUUAACGGAAUGAACUUAAUUGUUC